rnacentral:rRNA from 1 species
UACGAAGGGGGCGAGCGUUGUUCGGAUUUACUGGGCGUAAAGGGCGCGCAGGCGGCCAUUCAAGUCAGGCGUGAAAGUCCUGGGCUCAACCUGGGAACUGCGCUUGAUACGGCAGAGCUAGAGGAUGGAAGAGGCUCGCGGAAUUCCCAGUGUAGAGGUGAAAUUCGUAGAUAUUGGGAAGAACACCGGUGGCGAAGGCGGCGAGCUGGUCCAUUACUGACGCUGAGGCGCGACAGCGUGGGGAGCAAACAGG